GACGAACGCUGGCGGCGUGCUUAACACAUGCAAGUCGAACGGAAAGGCCCUGCUUUUGUGGGGUGCUCGAGUGGCGAACGGGUGAGUAACACGUGAGUAACCUGCCCUUGACUUUGGGAUAACUUCAGGAAACUGGGGCUAAUACCGGAUAGGAGCUCCUGCUGCAUGGUGGGGGUUGGAAAGUUUCGGCGGUUGGGGAUGGACUCGCGGCUUAUCAGCUUGUUGGUGGGGUAGUGGCUUACCAAGGCUUUGACGGGUAGCCGGCCUGAGAGGGUGACCGGCCACAUUGGGACUGAGUUACGGCCCAGCCUCCUACGGGAGGCAGCAGUGGGGAAUAUUGCACAAUGGGCGGAAGCCUGAUGCAGCAACGCCGCGUGCGGGAUGACGGCCUUCGGGUUGUAAACCGCUUUCGCCUGUGACGAAGCGUGAGUGACGGUAAUGGGUAAAGAAGCACCGGCUAACUACGUG
rnacentral:rRNA from 1 species